AAGAAGGGAGAGAGGGAGAGGAGAAAGAAAGGAGAAGGUUAAUAAAGAAGAAUAAUAAUAAAAUAAAUAAGCCAAUGAAACGGACACACGCGAAGGAAAGGAAACCCCGACGACAGAAGUGAUGGUUCACGGGGAGACGCUGGACUCGCCGCCCAGCCGGGAGAGCGCGGCGGCGUCCCCCCCCGACGCUUUUUUGGGUUGUUUUGCUUUAAACUCGUUGCAAUGUUUGCAUGCUGUCUCCAGAGGCCUUUUUUCCAGUCCUGUCCAGUGCUUUAUUCUCAUGUAAUGCUACCGACUGUGAGAUUAAAACUGUAAUAAAAACCAUUCCAUACGGA